GAAACCGACAGGACCUGGGUGUCAGGACCACAGAACAUAUUCCUAUGCAAUGUUUAUUGGUAAGGACUGGGCACCCCGAGUACUGUGUGCUGGAGUAUGCUGUGUAAUGGCAGCCCACAUGCAUGUAAAGAAGAUAUUUACCUAUAGGGAAGUCUGAAGAACAAGUACAGUUCCUGACACAUACAUCUUUGAAGGUACAAUAUUGAACCUAAACUUACAGCCAGUAAGUGGUUAACAAGUAUUCAAGCCUGGUCUGUCAGCCAGACAGCUAAAAUAAAGCACUGUGCUGCAGGAAAAGCCUAAUGAAGUCGCCGAAGUGAAUCGAUGGAAGAAUGUCAAAAAAGAUGAAUGUUAAACAGACCAUCUGAAGUUUUUAAAUAAAAGAGAUGUGCUGUAUGGUGGUGCAAGAUAUUCCAGUAAGUCUGCUGAAAGACGUCUAGUAUCUACACAAUUAUCCAUGUAAUACCGUGCAGGGGGAACGGAUUAGUGGCUACAAAGCUGUGUGUGAAAUGGGAAGCUGGAGUCUGCAGGACAGAGGAAGAACUCUUGAUGCCUGGGUAAGGAGAGAUCCUGGAAGACUUUUCCAAGCUUUGCUCACCACAAGGGACUGGAGAGUGCUGCGUUUAAUAAGACCCAAGAGAGAACAAAGGAGGAGGAAAAAGUUUCUUAUGCACAUACACGUACACA